rnacentral:rRNA from 1 species
GAUGAACGCUGGCGGCGUGCCUAAUACAUGCAAGUCGAGCGAAUGGAUUAAGAGCUUGCUCUUAUGAAGUUAGCGGCGGACGGGUGAGUAACACGUGGGUAACCUGCCCAUAAGACUGGGAUAACUCCGGGAAACCGGGGCUAAUACCGGAUAACAUUUUGAACCGCAUGGUUCGAAAUUGAAAGGCGGCUUAGGCUGUCACUUAUGGAUGGAUCCGCGUCGCAUUAGCUAGUUGGUGAGGUAACGGCUCACCAAGGCAACGAUGCGUAGCCGACCUGAGAGGAUGAUCGGCCACACUGGGACUGAGACACGGCCCAGACUCCUACGGGAGGCAGCAGUAGGGAAUCUUCCGCAAUGGACGAAAGUCUGACGGAGCAACGCCGCGUGAGUGAUGAAGGCUUUCGGGUCGUAAAACUCUGUUGUUAGGGAAGAACAAGUGCUAGUUGAAUAAGCUGGCACCUUGACGGUACCUAACCAGAAAGCCACGGCUAAUUACGUGCCAGCCGCCGCAGUAA